AUAGCCUCGGUGAUCUAGGUUUAGAAAGCUGUGAAAUUGGAUAUUGAGAUGCUCUCCGGAGUAGUUUCAGACUAGACUGUGGGAAUCGUCUAAUCCGAUCACCGGGAAGACCCUCCACGCGACCUCCUCACCAUCACACCCUCUCCAACUUGAAAACCCUAAAAGUGUCGAGGCCCAGGUGGCUCGAUAGGCAAAUGAUUGGAUCCAGAGUGAAGAGUCUGAUUAAAUAAUCAUUGGAGUGGCGGCGUGCGUGCAGCUUCUCCCCCUGCUCCUCACCUUGGGGACAUAUUGUCCCCUGUCACUGAAACCUCGGGGACAGAAGGCUCCGCCGUGGGGAGGCUCAGCAGGGGAGCGAGGGGCUGAUGAAACGAAGAUGGGGUAAUGAAGGCAUGGCCCAUGGCUUCCGUGGCUCCGCCAUAUGUUUCACCAAAUGCAAAUUGCCCCCAAUUCAAACAACUUUUUCAUCUUGAUAUAUGCAAAUGUGUUUAUAAAUACUGGCUUAUAAAUA
ensembl:lncRNA